rnacentral:rRNA from 1 species
UACGUAGGGUGCGAGCGUUGUCCGGAAUUAUUGGGCGUAAAGGGCUCGUAGGCGGUCCAUCGCGUCGGGAGUGAAAAGCUGGGGCUUAACCCCAGUCCUGCUUUCGAUACGGGUGGACUAGAGGUAGGCAGGGGAGAAUGGAAUUCCUGGUGUAGCGGUGAAAUGCGCAGAUAUCAGGAGGAACACCGGUGGCGAAGGCGGCAUCCUGGACCAACAUUGACGCUGAGGAGCGAAAGCUAGGGGAGCAAACGGG